rnacentral:rRNA from 1 species
AUACGGAGGGUGCAAGCGUUAAUCGGAAUUACUGGGCGUAAAGCGUGCGCAGGCGGUUUGUUAAGUCAGAUGUGAAAGCCCCGGGCUCAACCUGGGAACUGCAUUUGAUACUGGCAAACUAGAGUGUGGUAGAGGGAAGUGGAAUUCCUCAUGUAGCGGUGAAAUGCGUAGAUAUGAGGAGGAACACCAGUGGCGAAGGCGACUUCCUGGACCAACACUGACGCUCAUGUACGAAAGCGUGGGUAGCAAACAGGAUUAGAAACCCUAGUAGUCC